rnacentral:lncRNA from 1 species
CUCUGCAAGCUUUGCUUUUGCCUCCGCAAGCUCUUCAUUUAAUUGUCGUAUAAUUGACUGAAAAAACAUAAAUUUAUCUAUUAAAUAAAAUAUUUCAAGUCUUCACCAAAAAAAAACAUACAGUUGAAAGAAGCAAACCUCCUGUUUCCUUAUCAACUCUUCCUUAGAGUCGAGCUUGGCAGCAAGCUCGGCGGCUCUUUCCACAAUCCAAUCUAUCAUUUGCAGAAUCUCGCGUGUUUCGUCGUCCAUUUCAAUCUGUAGCCAAUUAAGAACAUCACUCAAUUUUUUCUUCUUCAAAAGUACUACUAACAAUUACUGCACAAUUAACAAAAGUAUGUAGAAUUUAACAAGCUAUAAUUUUAAACCCUAAAACAAAAAACGAAAUCACUCUCCCAGAGUGAUUGGAAGCAGAAAUGUAUGUGCAAGUGAAACGGCACUCACAUUUGAAGGACCGGAAUCGCAAGGAAGCUUGUUCUUCUUCGAAGCCUUACUGCGCGUCAUCUCCUAAGUCCUAAGCCAAUCCACAAAUAUUGCAAGUGAGUGUUUUACAAAGAAAACUCCUAACUCCUAAAUCCAAUCCACAAUUAUAAGGAUACUUAUUUUCUGUUCGGAUCAAAUCCAAAUAAUUUUACUUUAAACUAUGAAAUCAAGCUACAAUUAUAGGUAAAUGAUACAGAUACAUCUUAUGGAGAAAUCCUAACCUAACAACAAACUUAAUUCAUACUCCUGCGAAUUAUAUACAACAAACGCAUCCAUUCAAGUCAUCUUCAAUGAGAUAAAUGGAGUAUUUGUUUAUAAAUUUAAAAAUGUUAUAUACAAUUCGAACAAAAAAANAAAACAAAAUAAUGUCAUCCGUUUUUCACUAACUUUUAAAAUAUACACGAUCUAGUUUUCAAUUCGAAUCGGAGAAGAAGAAGUACCGGAGGCGGCGGCGUAGGGAGG